UUGUCAGCGAUUUGGAUUUGUUCUGGAAGUGACAGAGAUUUUUCAGAAGAGAUGGGCUAACAGGCAAAGUGCUCGGGUCCUCUCAGACAGAGUGGAAGCAGAACCUCUGGAGGAGCAAUGAUGACACUUGCGUCCCAGGCCCAGAAGUUCCAACACUUGUGUCUUGCAAUAUAUUUAAGACGAAAAGAGACCAGAAGGUCAGUAAUAGCUGACACAAUUCUUCUUUCAUUAUCCUGUGCUGUGACAUUCUUAGCUAUGCAACACUGACCGAACCCUGAGAGUGAAAAUAUCAGUGCGCAGAU